rnacentral:rRNA from 1 species
UACGUAGGGGGCAAGCGUUGUCCGGAUUCAUUGGGCGUAAAGAGCGUGUAGGCGGCCAGGUAGGUCGGUUGUGAAAACUGGAGGCUCAACCUUCAGAGGUCGACCGAAACCAUCUGGCUAGAGUCCGGGAGAGGAGAGUGGAAUUCCUGGUGUAGCGGUGGAAUGCGCAGAUAUCAGGAGGAACACCAAUAGCGAAGGCAGCUCGCUGGGACGGUAUUGACGCUAAGGCGCGAAAGCGUGGGGAGCAAACAGG